rnacentral:rRNA from 1 species
UGGGGAAUAUUGGACAAUGGGCGAAAGCCUGAUCCAGCCAUGCCGCGUGUGUGAAGAAGGCCUUUUGGUUGUAAAGCACUUUAAGCGAGGAGGAGGCUACUAGUACUAAUACUACUGGAUAGUGGACGUUACUCGCAGAAUAAGCACCGGCUAACUCUGUGCCAGCAGCCGCGGUAAUACAGAGGGUGCGAGCGUUAAUCGGAUUUACUGGGCGUAAAGCGUGCGUAGGCGGCUGAUUAAGUCGGAUGUGAAAUCCCUGAGCUUAACUUGGGAAUUGCAUUCGAUACUGGUUAGCUAGAGUGUGGGAGAGGAUGGUAGAAUUCCAGGUGUAGCGGUGAAAUGCGUAGAGAUCUGGAGGAAUACCGAUGGCGAAGGCAGCCAUCUGGCCUAACACUGACGCUGAGGUGCGAAAGCAUGGGGAGCAAACAGG